rnacentral:RNase_P_RNA from 1 species
GAAGUCGGCCGGACAGUCGCCGCGGUGCGGAGGAAAGUCCGGGCUCCGCAGGGCAGGGUGCCAGGUAACGCCUGGGGGACGCGAGUCCACGGAAAGUGCCACAGAAAACAGACCGCCUCGCCGGCCACCGGCGGGGUAAGGGUGAAAAGGUGCGGUAAGAGCGCACCGCGUCGGUGGUAACACCGGCGGCACGGCAAACCCCAACCCGGAGCAAGACCAAAUAAGGGAGCACGUCCCACGGGACGCGCGUGGCCCGCGCGGGCUCCCGGGUAGGUCGCUAGAGGUGUGCGGUGACGCACAUCCCAGAUGAAUGGCUGUCCUAGACAGAACCCGGCUUACAGGCCGGCUUCCACU